AAUUGCAGUUGAUACUGUCAGUCUUGAGUACAGUAGAGGUGGGCGGAAUUCGUGGUGUAGCGGUGAAAUGCUUAGAUAUCACGAAGACUUCCGAUUGCGAAGGCAGCUCACUGGACUGCAACUGACACUGAUGCUCGAAAGUGUGGGUAUCAAACAGGAUUAGAUACCCUGGUAGUCCACACAGUAAACGAUGAAUACUCGCUGUUUGCGAUAUACAGUAAGCGGCCAAGCGAAAGCAUUAAGUAUUCCACCUGGGGAGUACGCCGGCAACGGUGAAACUCAAAGGAAUUGACGGGGGCCCGCACAAGCGGAGGAACAUGUGGUUUAAUUCGAUGAUACGCGAGGAACCUUACCCGGGCUUAGAUUGCAGUGGAAUGAUGUGGAAACAUGUCAGUGAGCAAUCACCGCUGUGAAGGUGCUGCAUGGUUGUCGUCAGCUCGUGCCGUGAGGUGUCGGCUUAAGUGCCAUAACGAGCGCAACCCUUAUCUUUAGUUACUAACAGGUCAUGCUGAGGACUCUAGAGAGACUGCCGUCGUAAGAUGUGAGGAAGGUGGGGAUGACGUCAAAUCAGCACGGCCCUUACGUCCGGGGCUACACACGUGUUACAAUGGGGGGUACAGAAGGCAGCUAGCGGGUGACCGUAUGCUAAUCCCAAAAGCCUCUCUCAGUUCGGAUCGAAGUCUGCAACCCGACUUCGUGAAGCUGGAUUCGCUAGUAAUCGCGCAUCAGCCACGGCGCGGUGAAUACGUUCCCGGGCCUUGUACACACCGCCCGUCAAGCCAUGGGAGCCGGGGGUACCUGAAGUACGUAACCGCAAGGAUCGUCCUAGGGUAAAACUGGUGACUGGGGCUAAGUCGUAACAAAGGUAGCCGUAGCC
rnacentral:rRNA from 1 species